UACGAGGGGGGCAAGUGUUGUUCGGAAUCACUGGGCGUAAAGGGAGCGUAGGCGGAUGUUUAAGUUGGAUGUUUAAAACCGGGGCCUAACCUCGGAGCGGCAUCCAAAACUGGGCAUCUUGAAUAGGUCAGAGGCUGGUGGAAUUGGAGGUGUAGCGGUGGAAUGCGUAGAGAUCUCCAAGAACACCUAUUGCGAAGGCAGCCAGCUGGGACCAUAUUGACGCUGAGGCUCGAAAGCAUGGGGAGCAAACAGGA
rnacentral:rRNA from 1 species